AGACGACACAACAUUGUAUCUGCUCGCUAGUGUUUCUGAGAUGGUCGCUAACGAUAGUGAUGGUGAUACAAGAAAUAAUGCUCUUCUUCCUGCGAGGAGAACUAGGAAGGACGUCAUCAUCCAUGGUGAAGGGACUUCACAAGAAGGUGCAGCUAGAAACUGCACAGGAGGUACACUCUAGAAUACAGUGCUUAAAUAUUCGUAAUUAUGCAAAUGCUCACAGUUACAUAUAUACUCCUCCUUUGUUCUUCACUACUAGGAGAACUAGGAAGGACGUCAUCAUCCAUGGUGAAGGGACUUCACAAGAAGGUGGAGCUAGAAACUGCACAGGAGGUACACUCUAGAAUACAGUGCUUAAAUAUUCGUAAUUAUGCAAAUGCUCACAGUUACAUAUAUACUCCUCCUUUGUUCUUUAUAAGACAAUAAGUUUUGGGGAACUAGCACAACCCUCUAGGGGUGGCUUAUCUCAUUAUAUAUAAUGGUUGUGUUACAAUAUGUACCAUAUACGUACAUAGGUACAGAAGCUAUACAUAGUCUAACACCCUCCCUCAAUCUUAGCCACUUUCUAAAGAACUGAGAAGGGUAAGAUUGCGCCUACAAGCCUCAAACUGUGGCAGCGGUAAAGGCUUAGUGAAGAUGUCUGCAAGUUGAUUCUUAGAUGAGAUAAACUUGAUCUGGAGUUGCUUCUGUGAUACACGUUCCCGUACAAAGUGAUAGUCAACUUCAAUGUGUUUCAUUCGGGCAUGAAAUACUGGAUUUGCAGAAAGGUAUGUAGCACCGAUGUUAUCACACCAAAGAAUAGGAGUCUGUGGUUGAGACAAACCCAACUCCUGAAGCAAAGACUGCACCCAAAUAAUCUCUGCAGUAGCAUUAGCCACAGCCUUGUACUCAGCUUCAGUACUGCUACGUGACACAGUAGCCUGUUUCCGAGCACUCCAGGCGAUCAAAUUAGAGCCAAAGAAUACUGCAUAACCCCCCGUGGAUCGCCUGUCAUCUGGGCUACCAGCCCAAUCUGCAUCAGAGAAGGCCGAAAGGACCCGAGAGGAAGUCGGCCGAAUAUGCAUACCAAAUGUCAGGGUGAACUGAACAUAACGAAGAAUGCGUUUAACAGCAGCCCAAUGAGUAUCUCUGGGAGCCUGAAGAUACUGACAAACCCUGUUAACAGCAUAAGAGAUAUCUGGUCUCGUGAUCGUCAAGUACUGAAGUCCACCAACAAUGCUCCUGUACUCUGUGGCAUCCGCAGGAGACAAAAGCUCACCAUCAACAGUUGUUAUCUUGUCAGUAGACGACAUGGGUGUGGUGGUCGGUUUGCACUUCAGCAUGCCAGCUCUCUGUAACAACUCCAAGGAGUACUUCUUCUGCGUAAGGACAAGACCAGUAGCACGAGAAGUGACCUCAACUCCAAGAAAGUAGUGAAGCUUCCCAAGAUCUUUGACCGCAAAAUCAGCACCAAGAGAGCAGACAAGAGCAUCAGCAGCAUACUGAGAAGAGCUGACAAGGAUAAUAUCAUCGACAUAUACCAAAAGAUACAUAGUGACUUCUGGCUUCUGUAGAAGAAAUAACGAAGUGUCAGCAGUAGACGGCACAAACCCAUGAGCACGAAGGGCAGAGGCAAGGCGGGCAUGCCAGGCACGAGGAGCUUGCUUCAAACCAUAUAGUGCUUUGGAAAGACGACAGAUAUAGUCAGGACGAUCAGGAUCAGAGAAACCAGGCGGCUGUUUCAUAUAAACCUCUUCCUCCAAAAAUCCAUGUAGAAAAGCAUUCUGCACAUCAAGUUGACGAAGUGACCAACCACGAGAAACAGCAAUGGAGAGAAGAAGGCGAAUAGUGGUAGGCUUGACGACAGGACUGAAGGUGUCCUCAUAGUCAAGACCAUGACGCUGCCGAAAACCGCGAGCAACAAGUCGCGCUUUGUAACGCUCAAUAGAUCCAUCCGAAUGCUUCUUCACUUUGAAUACCCAUUUUGAGUCAAUAACAUUUACCCGUGGUGGUGGAGGAACGAGAGUCCAUGUCUUGUUACGAAGAAGAGCAUAAAACUCCUGCUCCAUAGCCUCUCGCCAAUGUGGAAUGCGCAGGGCAGCCUGAUAUGAGCGAGGCUCAGAAGAUGGAUCCGCAACAGCAGCAGCCAAACAAGCAGCCAACCAAGCAACCGUACCAUCCUUACGUUCCUUAGGUUUGAAAAUGCCACUGCGACUGCGUGUAUGUGGUCGGGACACAGGAACCACCGAGGUCGACGGAGCAGCCUGCAACGGGCUGGAGGACGGCGACGUUGACGAGUCAGCCGGUGACGAGGAGCCAGUCACGGUAGCCUCGGACUCGGUUGGCGAAGAAGGCCGACCCACCGGCGAAACCGGCAGAGCAGACGAAGCAGCUGGCGACUCCGUCAUCACAGACCGGGCCGAUGGCGAGCUCGGCAUAGUGGGCCGUGGCGCGGCCGGUGUCGCGGGCCGAUCCGCUGAUGAAGGCGACGUGAGGACCCGAGCCGCGGGCGAAGACGGCGUGACGGGCCGAGCCGCAGGCGAAGACGGCGUGACGGGCCGAGCCGCGGGCGACUCGGCGGCCGCUGGCGAAACGGACCGAGCAGUGGAGAUGCUCGGCGUGACAGGCUCGUCGGGUGACCAUGCAUGGGCACGCGAAUUGAUGCCAUGCAACAUAGGGCGAUCGACGUGCCCACCAGAAGACGACGAUGAUGAUGGUGAAUCCUCCAACAGCUCCAAACGAGCUCCACGUCCGGUUCCUGCACCAUGGUUAGGUAACAGCAAAGGAGAGUAUGCAACAUCAUCAAAUUGGUCAGAAGCAACAGAGGAUGAAUGCAGGGAUGGUGGUUCGACAGUGGACACUGGAAGGUUGGCAAAGGGAAAAACAUGCUCAUCAAACACGACGUCCCGAGAUAUAUAGACACGAUUAGUGGGAACAUGAAGACAUUUGUAACCUUUAUGAAGAGAGCUAUAGCCAAGAAAAACACACUUCUUAGAACGAAACUCAAGCUUGCGCUUGUUAUAUGGACGAAGAUGCGGCCAGCAAGCACACCCAAAUACCUUGAGAAAGGUAUAAUCAGGUUGUUCAUUAAGGAGAACCUCAAUGGGAGUCUUCAUGUUUAAAACACGAGUAGGAGUACGGUUGAUGAGAAAGCAUGCAGUGGUGAAAGCAUCACUCCAAAACCGAAACGGAACAGAUGCAUGGGCCAAAAGAGUAAGACCAGCUUCAACAAUAUGACGAUGCUUACGUUCGACUGAACCAUUCUGCUGAUGUGUAUGUGGACAUGCUAAACGAUGAGCUAUCCCAAGCGACUGAAAGAAAGAGUUGAGGUUGCGAUACUCGCCCCCCCCCCCAGUCUGACCGGACAUGAACAAUUUUGUGCUUGAGAAGACGUUCAACAUGUUUUUGAAACCGAACAAAAAUAUCAAACACAUCAGAUUUGCGUUUAAUAAGGUAAAGCCAGGUAAAGCGACUAUAAGCAUCAACGAAACUGAUAUAGUAAUUAUGACCACUGACAGAAGUCUGAGCAGGACCCCAUACAUCUGAAAACACAAGUUCUAAAGGAUGUUUCACCUCACGACUGGACUCCGAAAAAGGAAGUUGAUGACUCUUCCCCUGCUGACAAGCAUCACACACUGCUACAUCUUUAUGACUAGACAAACUAGGAAGCUCAUGACGACGCAAAAUAUGACGGACAAUAGGUGUGGUCGGGUGACCAAGACGAGCAUGCCACUGUGACGGAGAGACCCGAACUCCACUGAAAACACGAGCGACACCAGGAUGCUCCAGACUGUAGAGGCCCUGGCACAACCGCCCACUAAGAAGAAUGUCCCUCGUGCCCCGAUCCUUAAUAAAAAGAUCAAAAGGGUGAAAUUCACAAAGCACAUUAUUAUCACGUGUGAGUUUAGGAACUGAAAGAAGAUUACGGGUCACAGAUGGAACUCGAAGAACAUUGCGAAGCUGAAGACUCCUAUAGGCAUGUCUAGUGAGAAGAGAUGCUUGACCAAUAUGAGAGAUGUGCAUACCUGCUCCAUUGGCGGUGUGGAUCUUGUCGGAGCCAUGAUAGGAUUCAUGAGUGUGAAGCUUCCCCAUCUCGCUGGUUAGAUGCUCUGUCGCCCCAGAGUCCAUGUACCAGUGUGGAUCGAUGGAGUAGGACUGAGUGUGUCCCUGUUGCUUCUACGGCGCGGGACGAUCAGCCAUGGCGACCUGACGGGCAUUGUUGCGUGUAUCUUUGCCGUCAUUGCCAAGACCAAGGAAGCUUCGCUGGAAGCGCUUAUGACACUUGGAGGCCCAGUGCCCAUCGCGGCCACAAAGCUGACACACACGUGGACCGCCAGCCCCCGGUAAGGUCGCAGUAGGUGGGGGGGCCGAGGCGGGCGACGGUGGCAGCCCCAAGGGAGACCGGGGUGAUGAAGAAGAGCGGCCACCCUUGGUGGCGGCGUUGGCCGAGAGGGAGCCAGUGCCCCUGGUGCGGCGAGUCUCGACCCGUUGCUCAAUGAGAAGGAGCCGAGAGAAAACCUCGUGUGCCAGCAUGGGUGUCGAGUUGCCCCGCUCGUUGAUGAUCUCGACUAAGGCAUCAUACUCCUCAUCAAGACCAUUGACAAUAAACGAGUUGAACUCGGAGUCGGUGAGGGGCUGUCCAAUGGAGGCCAAUGUGUCGGCGAGGCCCUUGACCUUGUUGUAGAACUCAGUGGCAGUGGAGUCAAGUUUCUGACACUCUCCAAGCUGACGACGGAGUGCAGAGACACGAGCCUGGGACUGCGCUGCAAAGGUGCGCUCAAGGAUGGUCCAGGCCUCAUGAGACGUCUUUGCGAGGACAACAAGGCCGGCAACUGCCGGCGAGAGCGACCCCUGGAUGGAGGAGAGGUUCGCCUGGUCCUGCCCCGUCCAGACGCGAUGGGCUGGAUUGUAGACCGGACCGUGCACGCUGUCUACCAGCGCGGGUGGGCAGGGAAGCGAUCCGUCGACGUAGCCUAGCAGGUAGUGACUCCCCAAGAGCGGGAGAACCUGCGCACACCAGAAGAUGUAGUUGUCGGCGGAGAGCUUGAUGGUGAUGAGAUGACCGAAGUGAAACGGCGGCGGCGAAGACAAUCCCAUCGAGGAGGCUGCCUGGGGUGCAAACACCAUGGAGGCAGCCGGAGGCACCGAAGCCGAUGCGGGAGGAGGCGGGACCGCAGCCAGGGCGGGCGCCGCAAAGCUCGCGGCCGGUGCGGACGCCGCAAGGCCCGCGGCCGGGGCGGACGCCGCCAACCCCGCCAGCGGGGCAGUGUGAUCCGCUUGCGGCAGGAGCGGCGGGACGACGCCUGCGGAGUCCGCAGCNNNNNNNNNNNNNNNNNNNNNNNNNNNNNNNNNNNNNNNNNNNNNNNNNNNNNNNNNNNNNNNNNNNNNNNNNNNNNNNNNNNNNNNNNNNNNNNNNNNNNNNNNNNNNNNNNNNNNNNNNNNNNNNNNNNNNNNNNNNNNNNNNNNNNNNNNNNNNNNNNNNNNNNNNNNNNNNNNNNNNNNNNNNNNNNNNNNNNNNNNNNNNNNNNNNNNNNNNNNNNNNNNNNNNNNNNNNNNNNNNNNNNNNNNNNNNNNNNNNNNNNNNNNNNNNNNNNNNNNNNNNNNNNNNNNNNNNNNNNNNNNNNNNNNNNNNNNNNNNNNNNNNNNNAGCUCGCGGCCGGUGCGGACGCCGCAAGGCCCGCGGCCGGGGCGGACGCCGCCAACCCCGCCAGCGGGACAGUGUGAUCCGCUUGCGGCAGGAGCGGCGGGACGACGCCUGCGGAGUCCGCAGCGGACGGCGGCGCCGCGGUGUGGACCACGAGGUCACGCCCAAGCGAGGGCGCCGGCGGCGUGGAGAAGACGGAGCCGAUGCUCCUUGUCCCGAUCGGAGCCGGAACAAAGACGGCAUCGAGCGGGAGGUUGAGCAAAGCCGCAAGAGAGGCCGGGAGGAAGCCCGCAGCAGUGGAACCGGUGGUGGCGGCGCUCGACAUGGCGGCGGCGCGAUCGGUGGCGCGGCGGCGGCGGUGAAGGCGGCGGCGGCUGCGGCGGCGGUGCGGGUAUUAGGGUUUAGAAGCGGAAGCAAUCGUAACCUAGCGUGAUACCAUGUAAGACAAUAAGUUUUGGGGAACCAGCACAACCCUCUAGGGAUGGCUUAUCUCAUUAUAUAUAAUGGUUGUGUUACAAUAUGUACCAUAUACGUACAUAGGUACAAAAGCUAUACAUAGUCUAACAUUCUUCACUACUAGGAGCUUCCCGGGGAGCCCGAUAAUUAAGCUGGAAACACCAAAGAAAAGAGAAAGGGGCAUACAGGUGUGUGUGUUAAAAUUCACUAUCAAUUUAUUAAAGGUUAUGAAGAAAAAUAUAUAUUGAUCCUUGGAUUGUCACAUAUUUUACGCAUACAAUCUCCGGGGGAGUUUAUUACUUCAUGCAUCUUCUUAAGUGGGAUUAUAAAACAAAGUUUUAUUCUCACAAAAAAAAAUGAACUUCCGGCGACAUGUACACUGACCGUUUGAGUCCAUAUGUUAUACCGAGAAAGGCUUUCGCCCCGCUUUAUAAAUAAAGCAAACCGCCAUAAAGCACACAUACAAGGACUAGUCCAGAACACAAACACCCAAGUCUCACAAGAGGAAGUACAAUAGGUUUUGCUGAGGGCACAGCUCAACAAGCCCAAACAAAAAAUAAAAAAAGGAGCCGGAGAACACGUCCGGCGCCUAAUCUAGCUCUGGUGGUGGCGGAGGGAGCGGCGGUGACAGUCAGACGGCCAUCGAGCGAAGUUCGGUGAUGAAGGCGGAGAUGGCGUCCCGGUCCUGUGGGCGGCUAAGCGCCGCCAAAGCUACAAGUAACCAGAUAGUUUGAAGAGAGCGUCAGUAGCCCGUCGAAGAGGAAUGCGCUGGAUCACAAGCUUAUUGUGGAUCGUCCAGAUGGUCCAAGCGAGGGCCCCAAUCUCAAGCCACCUAAUGUGGCGAGAAGCUAGGGGGGAGUUAUGAAGUUCGACGAAUAGGUCAGGGAAGUUGGUGUGGCACCAAUUACCACACACCACCUCUCUAAAGCAGCUCCACACAAAUUGAGCGGACACACAACAGAAGAAUAUGUGGUUCGAGUCUUCGGGGACACCGCACAACGGGCAUAGGCGAGAACCAGGGCCAUUGCGCUUGCGCACCUCCACCCUAGACGGGGUCCGUCUGCGGAUCCAUUGCCACAUGAAGAUCCUAAUUUUUAGUGGCAGGCGGAUGGACCACACCGCCGUAAGGGGGGAGGGGUUGUGGAGGGGGCAAUGGCCUGGUAAAGAGACUUGGUGGAGAAUUGACCUGACGGCUCAAGACGCCACUAACCUGAUCCGAACCAGCAUCCACAACCGGCUCGUGGAGAGCGACACAAUCAAGAAACUCACCCCAGGCGGCGGAGUCCAGAGGCCCAAAUGGACUUCGGAAUGCGAGGCGCUCUAAGUCAAUAAGGGCCCUCUCUACUGAGAUCGAAGGGUCGACGGCGAUGGAGAAGAGGUCGGGGAAGCGCGCAUCGAAGGGGGUGUCGCCCGCCCACCGGUCAAACCAGAACAAAGUCGCAGCCCUAGAUCCAACCGAGAUGGAGGUCCCAAUGCGGAGGACUGGGAGAAGUUGGAUGACCGACUGCCAAAACUGGGAACCACCAGAUCUCUGACAGAAGGCUAGGGGUUGCCCACGUAGGUACUUGUUCUAGAUGAUGUCUAGCCAGAGGCCACCAUGACCUUGCGAAAUGCGCCAGAGCAAGCGGGAUAAGAGGGCAAUAUUCAUGCGCUUAGAGCACAUGAUACCGAGGCCUCCUUGUUUCCGAGGCUUGCAAAUGUCAGGCCAGCUAACCAUAUGGUAUUUCUUCUUAUUGUUAUCAUAUGCCCAAUAGAAACGAGACUGGACUUUGGCGAUCUCAUGGUGCAGAGUGUCGUGCAGGCUGUAGAAGCUCAUAAGGAAUAAGAGGAGGCUGGAGAGGAAGGAGUUGAUGAGAAUCGGCCGAGCCGCCUUCGACAGCCACCUACCCUGCCAUGGCUCUAUGCGCAUUUCCAACUUGGCCACGGUCGGACGCAAGUCAACAACAGUAAGCCUAGAGUCACUAAUGGCCGUUCCCAAGUAUGUCAUGGGGAAGGAGCCCAGGCGGCAGUUGCCGGUUGGCAAUGUCCAGGCACUCCGUCGGAGAGUAGCCCAUCACCAUCACAUCACUCUUGCCGAAGUUGAUCUUGAGGCCAGACAUUUGUUGGAAGCAGAGGAGAAGGAACUUAAGAUUAGAGAUGUCCGCCUCCGAGCCCUCGACCAUGAUGAUGGUGUCGUCAGCGUAUUGGAGAAGGUAGAUCCCAGAACCACCGUCAGGUGGGGGGUGAUCCCACGAAUAUGGCCCGCAGCCUUAGUUUUGUCCAGGAUAGCGGCCAGCGCGUCCACCACCAUAUUGAACAAGAAUGGGGAGAAGGGGCCGCCUUGUCUAACCCCACAAAGGGUGGGGAAGUAAGGACCAAUCUCGCCAUUGAUCUUCACGGCAGUGCGGCCGCAAGAAACCAUCCGCAUCACUCUGGUGAUCCACCGGUCGUCGAAGCCCUUCCGGAGCAGAACUUCCCGAAGGAAGGGCCAACUAACAGUGUCGUAAGCCUUAUGGAAAUCGAUCUUUGGCAAAACCGCCCUGAGGUGUUUAGAUCGGACCUCAUGAAGGACUUCAUGAAGCACUAGCACCCCAUCCAGGAUAUACCGCCCUUGAAUGAAGGUGGAUUGGUUGGGGUGGGUAAUGUAGUCGGCAAGCAGGGUCACCCUAUUGGCGUACCCUUUUGCCAGAAUCCAGAAGAUCACAUUGAUAACCGUGAUCGGUCGAAACUGGCGAAUGUCGGAGGCCCCGGGCACCUUGGGGAUGAGCGAAAUGAUCCCGUAGUUGAGGCGCCCGAGGUCGAUGGACCCAACGUAGAACUCGUCGAAGAUGGCCAUGAUCCCAGGCUUAAUCACAUUCCAGAAGGUCUGAAAGAAUUUAACCGGGAGGCCAUCCGGGCCCGGGGCCGAGGUAGGGUUCAUGCCUCUAAUGGCCGCCUAGACCUCGCCCUUGGAGAAGGGGGCCGUAUAAGGGCCGCGUUCUCCUCAACGGAAACUAGUUGGAGGCCAGUCCAACAAUCAGGAGCCAGAGAAAGGCCGCUCCUAGAAGCGGUGGAGAACAGGGACAUGUAGAACCCGUCGACAUGGGCUCGAAUGUCACUGGGAGACUGCAGAAGGGUCGCGCCAUCCCAGAGGAGGGGGGUGGUGUUGCGUCUACGGUGGCCAUUGGCAAUGGCCUGAAAGUAUAAGAAUCUUGCAUAUCCAUCAAAUUUAAAAGUAAUCAAAUGGGAUCUUGCCGAGAGAACAUCGGCGCUUCUGUCCUCGUCUAAUUAGUUCAUCGUUUGAGAUUCCAUGUUAGUGGCAGAGUAGUGCUCGCCUGGUCGAUCUAGUGGGAGUUCUACAUUGUUUAUUUUAAAGAUGCAUAAAUACUGAAACUCAAGGAAAUUAGGUAACUUGUGUAUGCUGGGAAAAGCAGCCCUCACACACAUGAGUGAUGCUCAAUAAAACCCAUUUUCAGGCAAAAUAACUCACUUCACUGAGCAUUUUUUUAAACAUGAUUUGGCAUGUGCAUACUUCUUUGGAGUUAACGGGCAGCUCGUACAAACUAGAGUUUUGUUUAUUUUAUAUUAUGAGAAGUACAUUUGUUGUUUGUGGUUGUUAAUUAAUAACAAAAUGAUAGAUCGAUAUUAAUAAGGAGAUAUAAUAUAUAAACAUGAUUCUGAGUAUUACGUUCGCACAUACAUUUUUUGUGAAAACCUUUGCACAUACUUUUUAUCAAGUAAUCUGCACCAAGUAGAAACAUAUAUCUCAUUGCAGUGUCGUAUACACAAUAUUGUAUGUCACAUUUUUUGUUGGUCCCUAAGUAAAAUUAUCAUCAAUAUUGUUUCCUAGAAACUUUGCAUUAAUGUUUUGUGCCAAUUAAAUUCUUAAAAUGAUUUUGUUGGACAUAUUAUGCUAAUUUAUUUGAUGGUUUCCAUAUUAUCACAUGUUCUGUAGUGGGAUUAUUUUCUGUUUUGAGGGUGGGAUUAUGUUCUCUUGGUAUCAUAAAAGCCUUGCCUGAUGUAUGCAAUCUUGGGAGCUAAUAUAUUUUGAAAACAAAAUUGUUUCACACUAGUUGGUGGAGUGUAUGGAGGUGUGCAGAUGUGAAUACAUCCACCAUGGAUUGAAUCUGAAUUCUCAAUUUAUGCACGCAAGGGAAUGCGUUUGGUAGGAAGGUAAUUUUUUAGAUGUGUUAAUAUAUACCCAACUCGUGAGAAAUGUAGAUGUCCGUACAAAAGUCUGCUCAGUCUUAUUAUGUGUCUGGUGGUAUGUGUACAUGGAUGAGUUAUUCCUCGUAUUAGAAAAGCACAGGAAGUCAUAAAAUAUACCGACAGAAGAAGACCGUACGUUCCUGAAACAGAAUAGUCAUUUCUCUGUUAGUCAGGUUUUGUCGGUUCCAUUAUAUGUAAGCAAGAGAUGGAUUAGGAAAUCACAUCUAUGAUCUAUAUAAAUGGCCGAAACUCAAGGAAAUUAGGUAACUUGUGUGUGCAGGAAAAAAACAGCCCUCACACACGUGAGUGAUACUCAAUAAAAACCUUUUUUAAGCAAAAUUACUCACUUCAGUAAGCAUUUCUUUAAACACGAUUUAUCAUGCAUACUUUUACGAAGUUAACGGGCAACUCAUACAACUAGAGCUUUUUAUAUUAUGAGAAGUGCAUUUAUUGUGUGUGGUUGUUAAUUGGUAACAAAAUGAUAGAUCGUUUUUUUCGAACCAUGCAUGACGACUGCAUGUAAAUAUAUAGAUAGAAAGAGGAGUACAACCGGCAAAAUCAGGCACAUGUACAAAUACAGCACAAGCCAAAACAAGCAGAGAGAAAAAGAGAGGAAACUCUAGGAACAAAAACAAACUAAUCGAACUCCGCCAUAUCAGGCACAGCCAUCCCAUUUUUGCUUGCAGUGUCCCAUAUUUUAGCCUCCAUUUUGAUCUUGUCAAGAAGCCGCUGAAUCGGAGUGUGUGGCUUUUUUUAUCAAAAACUCUACUGUUCCGUUCUCUCCAAAUCGACCAAACGACCAACAUAACUACAGAGUUCACAGUUUUUUCUUUAGCACCUUCCAUCCUUAUCCUUGCUCGACUCCUCCACUCUCCAAGAUCAGAGCCAGCAGUAGAUCGAUAUUAAUGAGAUAUAACAUAUAAACUUGAUUCUGAGUAUUACCUUAGCAGAUUCAUUUAUUUUUUGGUGAAAACCUUUAUAUUUUAUAACAUAUACUGUUUGAUAUUAAUAAGGAGAUAUAACAUCAGUAUUAACUUUUCUUUGAAUCUUAAAAGCCUUGUCUGAUGUAUGCAAUCUUGAAAAUUUAUAUAUUUUGAGGAAAAAAGUAAUAUGAUCGUUCCUUCCCGUAACAGAAUAGUCAUUUCUCUGUUGGCCGGGUUUCGUCGGUUGCAUUAUAUGUAAGCAAGAGAUGGAUUAGGAAAUCACAUCUAUGAUAUAUAUCACAGAGAAAAAAGGUCUAAUCGACUCAAGGAACAGAUAAAUAUUGUGGUCACUUGGAGAAGGGUUCCUCGUUGCUAUUGCCGUGGAGCUCAUUGUACACUAUAUAUGGGCAUAAAUGACGAUUAUAGCUCAAUAGUUCUACAUCCCUUAUGCUAUUGAAGCAAUCGUCCUUGAUCUAUCAAAGAUAGUUUUCCAUAUGACAUAUGCAACAUGUUGUGUUGUACCACAUCUAGAAUUUCUAAGUCAAAACCAAUAACAUAUACCUAGAUAUUAUGCAUGUUCGAUCUCCGAGACAACAUAUUUUGAUGCUUUGUUGUAAUCAUUAUAUUAUGUAAUUUAUUAAAUUAAUAGUGUAAUUAAUUGCCACCCAGUGUUCCGUUAUUACAGUUAGCAAUAUUGCCAUCUCAAGUUGGUAUUGCUAGAGUAAUAUGUGUAAGUUCUAAAGUUCACUUUUUAGGAGUUAGGUUGCCAUUGAAGUGAAAUUUUCUAGGUGGUGUUAGAGAAGUAUCUUGACAACUGGGUAGGAUUAACAAGACUUUUAUUGGAUAUCUAAUGAAGGUAGUUUGGGUUCGCAGACCAUCUGUUUUAGUAACUGUGUUUGGGGCCGCCACCACGUGGAUCCUCCCACCACGUCUCCGGGGCCGCCGCCCCGAAAUCCUGCACCUUUGCCCCCAUCGAAAGGAUCAGUCCCCUCAAAGCCACGCCGCGAGCUCCAACAUCUGUCUGCACCUGAGCGUCGCCACUAGGAUCUGCAUAAGCAUGAGAAGUUGAUGUCCGCGAACUCACAUGCCUGAAGAAAUGUCAUGACAACAAACUCCGCGAGUGUGACCUUCAGGUUGGGCGGCAACUCCAAACGCCUCCCCCACAGGAUUUACAGACAUUUUAGGACUCGGGAGUGUUGUGUAGCCUGGGAAUCAAAUUGGCUUCCUCGCGCGUGUGUGUUGCUUGCUCUGUUGUGUAGUUGUGCAAGACGAUGGUCUGGUGACUAGUCUGAUUGGGUACGUGCAUGCUAUCAUGGGGCAUGUGGAGAGUUGAUUGUUGUUCUUGGAAUAUGUUUGUCAUGUGCAUGUAGUGGUCGUGUCCAUACAUUUUUCGCAGGAAAUAUUUGUUGGAUUGUAAUUCAGAACUGCUCUUCCUUGCUAAAUACAUUUGUGGAAUAUCAAUUCUUGUAAGAUAAUUGACUUACUUAUUAUUAUUUUCAGGUCACCAUUGGUAUAAGGAUUUUGCAUCAGUUCCAAGAGUCAUGUUUGUCGAGCUAAAAGGAUCUAUUGCUAGAAUUUUUCUAAUAUUUUGGGCAUUUUAAUAUAUAUCUGCUGAAUUAGUACCCUUGUUGGGUGGAGUACAUUCACCAAAACCCGGUGUUAUAUUUAGUGCUUUUGGCUAUGAUGUAAUUGUAGAGUGCAGGAUGGAUUGUUAUGCUUUUUGUUGUGAUCUAGUAUUGAGCUUUUGAACGUACAAAUUUACACCUAUGAUCGAUUGCUGAGAUAUAUAUUAUGUCCUAGUAGAUGCAACUUUAAUUACUCUGCAUGUGUGUUGUAGAUUAUGAACGUAAGUGAUGAUCA
rnacentral:lncRNA from 1 species